UACGUAGGGGGCAAGCGUUGUCCGGAAUCAUUGGGCGUAAAGCGCACGUAGGCGGCCCGGUAAGUCCGUUGUGAAAGUCAGAGGCUCAACCUCUGGAGGCCAAUGGAUACUGUCGGGCUAGAGUCCGGAAGAGGCGAGUGGAAUUCCUGGUGUAGCGGUGGAAUGCGCAGAUAUCAGGAGGAACACCAAUGGCGAAGGCAGCUCGCUGGGACGGUACUGACGCUGAGGUGCGAAAGCGUGGGGAGCGAACAGG
rnacentral:rRNA from 1 species